UGCGAGUCGAAUGUAGCAAUACAUGGCGUACUGCUCAGUAACACGUGGACAACCUGCCCUUAGGACGGGUAUAAACCCGGGAAACUGGGUAUAAUUCCCGAUAGGUCUCGUCUGCUGGAAUGCAUCGAGAUCCAAAGCUCCGGCGCCUAAGGAUGGGUCUGCGGCCUAUCAGGUAGUAGUGGGUGUAGCGUACCUACUAGCCUACAACGGGUACGGGUUGUGAGAGCAAGAGCCCGGAGAUGGAUUCUGAGACACUAAUCCAGGCCCUACGGGGUGCAGCAGGCGCGAAAACUUUACAAUGCUGGGAACGGCGAUAAGGGAACCUCGAGUGCCAGGUUACAAAUCUGGCUGUCGUGAUGCCUAAAAAGCAUUAUAUAGCAAGGGCCGGGCAAGACCGGUGCCAGCCGCCGCGGUAACACCGGCGGCUCGAGUGGUAACCGUUAUUAUUGGGUCUAAAGGGUCUGUAGCCGGCCGGAUAAGUCUCUUGGGAAAUCUGGCAGCUUAACUGUCAGGCUUUCAGGGGAUACUGUCUGGCUCGAGGCCGGGAGAGGUGAGAGGUACUUCAGGGGUAGGGGUGAAAUCUUGUAAUCCUUGAAGGACCACCAGUGGCGAA
rnacentral:rRNA from 1 species